GAUACCAUGGCCGAAGGGUGAAGGCAGCGAGUCAGAGUGCUAUGUAGUAGAUUGGCCAUGCCAUUUGUCUAUCGUUUAUGCAGGUUCGACUCCUGUUGGUGUCG